rnacentral:precursor_RNA from 1 species
GUCCGAGCGGGGCUGAGCCCGGGGGUCACGGCUCCGAGCACCUCGGCCGCGCCCCACUUGUCCC